ensembl:snRNA U6 U6 spliceosomal RNA
ACGCUCGCUUUGGCAGCACAUAUACUAAAAAAUUAGAAUGAUACAGAGAAGAUUAGCAUCGCCCCUGUGCAAGGAUAACAUGCAAAUUCAUGAAGCAUUCCAUAUUUAG